rnacentral:rRNA from 1 species
AUUGAACGCUGGCGGCAGGCCUAACACAUGCAAGUCGAGCGGAUGAAGGGAGCUUGCUCCUGGAUUCAGCGGCGGAAGGGUGAGUAAUGCCUAGGAAUCUGCCUGGUAGUGGGGGAUAACGUCCGGAAACGGGCGCUAAUACCGCAUACGUCCUGAGGGAGAAAGUGGGGGAUCUUCGGACCUCACGCUCUCAGAUGAGCCUAGGUCGGAUUAGCUAGUUGGUGGGGUAAAGGCCUACCUAGGCGACGAUCCGUAACUGGUCUGAGAGGAUGAUCAGUCACACUGGAGCGUGAACACGGUCCUUGCUCCUACGGGAGGCAGCAGUGGGGAAUAUUAGACAAUGGGCGAAAGCCUGGUCCAGCCAUGCCACGUGUGUGAAGAAGGUCUUCGGAUUGUAAAGCACUUUAAGUUGUGAGGAAGGGCAGUAAGUUGAUACCAUGCUGUUUUGACGGUACCAACAGAAUAAGCACCGGCUAACUUCGUG